AUUGAACGCUGGCGGCAGGCUUAACACAUGCAAGUCGAGCGGAGAGAGGUAGCUUGCUACUGAUCUUAGCGGCGGACGGGUGAGUAAUGCUUAGGAAUCUGCCUAUUAGUGGGGGACAACAUUUCGAAAGGAAUGCUAAUACCGCAUACGUCCUACGGGAGAAAGCAGGGGAUCUUCGGACCUUGCGCUAAUAGAUGAGCCUAAGUCGGAUUAGCUAGUUGGUGGGGUAAAGGCCUACCAAGGCGACGAUCUGUGGCGGGUCUGAGAGGAUGAUCCGCCACACUGGGACUGAGACACGGCCCAGACUCCUACGGGAGGCAGCAGUGGGGAAUAUUGGACAAUGGGCGCAAGCCUGAUCCAGCCAUGCCGCGUGUGUGAAGAAGGCCUUAUGGUUGUAAAGCACUUUAAGCGAGGAGGAGGCUACUUUAGAUAAUACCUAGAGAUAGUGGACGUUACUCGCAGAAUAAGCACCGGCUAACUCUGUGCCAGCAGCCGCCGUAA
rnacentral:rRNA from 1 species